UCAUGCAAAAAACUGUCUUUUAUUUAAGGAUAGUGAUCAUAUGAAGCCAUUUAUUAUCACAUAGUUGUUUGGCUCCUUUUUAAAUCAUAAUGAUAACAGAAAUCACCCAAAUGGCCCUGAUCAAAAGUUUACAUACCCUUGAAUGUUUGGCCUUGUUACAGACACACAAGGUGACACACACAGGUUUAAAUGGCAAUUAAAGGUUAAUUUCCCACACCUGUGGCUUUUUAAAUUGCAAUUAGUUUCUGUGUAUAAAUAAACAAUGAGUUUGUUAGCUCUCACGUGGAUGCACUGAGCAGGCUAGAUACUGAGCCAUGGGGAGCAGAAAAGAACUGUCAAAAGACCUGCGUAACAAGGUAAUGGAACUUCAUAAAGAUGGAAAAGGAUAUAAAAAGAUAUCCAAAGCCUUGAAAAUGCCAGUCAGUACUGUUCAAUCACUUAUUAAGAAGUGGAAAAUUCGGGGAUCUCUUGAUACCGAGCCAAGAUCAGGUAGACCAAGAAAGAUUUCAGCCACAACUGCCAGAAGAAUUGUUCGGGAUACAAAGAAAAACC